GACGAACGCUGGCGGCGUGCUUAACACAUGCAAGUCGAACGGAAAGGCCCUGCUUUUGUGGGGUUCUCGAGUGGCGAACGGGUGAGUAACACGUGAGUAACCUGCCCUUGACUUUGGGAUAACUUCAGGAAACUGGGGCUAAUACCGGAUAGAAGCUCCUGCUGCAUGGUGGGGGUUGGAAAGUUUCGGCGGUUGGGGAUGGACUCGCGGCUUAUCAGCUUGUUGGUGGGGUAGUGGCUUACCAAGGCUUUGACGGGUAGCCGGCCUGAGAGGGUGACCGGCCACAUUGGGACUGAGAUACGGCCCAGACUCCUACGGGAGGCAGCAGUGGGGAAUAUUGCACAAUGGGCGGAAGCCUGAUGCAGCAACGCCGCGUGCGGGAUGACGGCCUUCGGGUUGUAAACCGCUUUCGCCUGUGACGAAGCGUGAGUGACGGUAAUGGGUAAAGAAGCACCGGCUAACUACGUG
rnacentral:rRNA from 1 species